AUGUUGUGCCUAAUUUCUAGAGAAACUACUGAACUAGCCCAGUGGCCAAGUGACACUACCCCACCGUUGUUCUGCCCGGGUUCGAUUCCACCUGAUCCAGUGGAAAUAUCGCAUAAAAAAAGUCUUUACACGAGAGCAAUAGAGGUUGGGAUACAUCUAUCUCUUCUGAGCAACCUCUUUUGGAUUCUUAAGACCACCCUUGUAGUAGGAUACCAUCUGCUUUGGUUCUUUAUUAUCUCCUUCGAGGGAUUUUUAGGAUUUUUUUGCCUCUGCCAUUAUUGA
rnacentral:rRNA from 1 species